GACGAACGCUGGCGGCGUGCCUAAUACAUGCAAGUAGAACGCACAGUUUAUACCGUAGCUUGCUACACCAUAAACUGUGAGUUGCGAACGGGUGAGUAACGCGUAGGUAACCUGCCUGGUAGCGGGGGAUAACUAUUGGAAACGAUAGCUAAUACCGCAUCAUAUUAAUUAUUGCAUGAUAAUUGAUUGAAAGAUGCAAUUGCAUCACUACCAGAUGGACCUGCGUUGUAUUAGCUAGUAGGUGAGGUAACGGCUCACCUAGGCGACGAUACAUAGCCGACCUGAGAGGGUGAUCGGCCACACUGGGACUGAGACACGGCCCAGACUCCUACGGGAGGCAGCAGUAGGGAAUCUUCGGCAAUGGACGAAAGUCUGACCGAGCAACGCCGCGUGAGUGAAGAAGGUUUUCGGAUCGUAAAGCUCUGUUGUAAGAGAAGAACGGGUGUGAGAGUGGAAAGUUCACACUGUGACGGUAUCUUACCAGAAAGGGACGGCUAACUACGUG
rnacentral:rRNA from 1 species